rnacentral:lncRNA from 7 species
CAGCACAGCACAGCGCGGUGCGGUGCUGAGCGCACACGGGGACAGGGCUUCCAUUGGAGCCUCCGGGAGCUGGAAGCAAACUCUGCUCCCUCUGCAACGUGCAGGAGCAAGCAGCUCCGUGCCGCGACGCCCAGCCCCGAGUGCACUUCCCUCAUCAAGGGGAAGGGGAAAAACGAAACGACGGACAGGGGGAUCAGCGUGUCCCUGCAGGGGAUCCCCUGUCCCCGGCAGCGGGGUGCAGACGGAAGCCAGGAGACGGAGCUGAAGGAAGGGAGAUUCUAUCCCUCGGCUCGCAGGCUCGAUCCACUCCAGAUCCAGACGUGCCGGCACAGCUGGAGGAGCCGCAGCGGGCAGGAGCUGCUGAGAGGUUCAGAGAGCAUCCUGAGCACAGCGGUGGGGGGAGGAUGGCGUCUCCCCCUCUGCCAAGAAACCCCUGGAGAACCCUCCAGGAGGGGCACGGGGGAACAGAGCUCCGCGGGCAGCGCACGGCGUGUGCACGGUACCCAAACAUUGGCUGUCUGCUGGCCAGGUGCACCUCCCAGCUUUGGCUCCGGUGAUGCCGUGUGGAUGUACGGGGUGAUGCUGAUGGCCAGCAGCCCGGCUCCUUCCCCAUGGGUGAGACCAUCCAAACUCGUUGCACCGGUGGCAGUCUGUGCCGUUCUGGCAGCGCAAGGCCCCAGGCGCCAGGGGGCUGCUUGAGCUGAACUCC